rnacentral:rRNA from 1 species
GCUACACAUGCAGUCGAGCGGUAACAGAAGUAGCUUGCUACUUUGCUGACGAGCGGCGGACGGGUGAGUAAUGCUUGGGAACAUGCCUUGAGGUGGGGGACAACAGUUGGAAACGACUGCUAAUACCGCAUAAUGUCUACGGACCAAAGGGGGCUUCGGCUCUCGCCUUUAGAUUGGCCCAAGUGGGAUUAGCUAGUUGGUGAGGUAAUGGCUCACCAAGGCAACGAUCCCUAGCUGGUUUGAGAGGAUGAUCAGCCACACUGGAACUGAGACACGGUCCAGACUCCUACGGGAGGCAGCAGUGGGGAAUAUUGCACAAUGGGCGCAAGCCUGAUGCAGCCAUGCCGCGUGUGUGAAGAAGGCCUUCGGGUUGUAAAGCACUUUCAGUCAGGAGGAAAGGUUAGNAGUUAAUACCUGCUAGNUGUGACGUUACUGACAGAAGAGCACCGGCUAACUCCGUGCCAGC